UGGGUGUGCUCAGAGCAGGUGGCCUGAAGAAUGGCUUCUCUAUUUACAACACACCCAACAGGAAUUUAGGGUCUCUGUGACAAGGGGCAUGAAACUUGUAACUUUCUCAUGAAUAAAGGUCCCACACAU
ensembl:snoRNA